rnacentral:misc_RNA from 1 species
CACGGAAGCCCCAAGCGUUGUUCGGAUUCAUUGGGCGUAAAGGGUGCGUAGGCGGCGCGGAAAGUCUGGUGUGAAAGGCAGGGGCUCAACCCCUGGACUGCACUGGAUACUUCCGUGCUCGAGGACUGGAGGGGAGACUGGAAUUCACGGUGUAGCAGUGAAAUGCGUAGAUAUCGUGAGGAAGACCGGUGGCGAAGGCGAGUCUCUGGACAGUACCUGACGCUGAGGCACGAAGGCUGGGGGAGCGAACAGG